ACAGAACGAACGCUGGCGGCAUGCCUAANACAUGCAAGUCGAACGAGACCUUCGGGUCUAGUGGCGCACGGGUGCGUAACACGUGGGAAUUUGCCUCGGGGUAUGGAAUAACUCAGGGAAACUUGAGCUAAUACCAUAUAAUGUCUUCGGACCAAAGAUUUAUCGCCCUGAGAUAAGCCCGCGUAGGAUUAGCUAGUUGGUGGGGUAAAGGCUCACCAAGGCGACGANCCUUAGCUGGUCUGAGAGGAUGAUCAGCCACACUGGGACUGAGACACGGCCCAGACUCCUACGGGAGGCAGCAGUGGGGAAUAUUGGACAAUGGGCGAAAGCCUGAUCCAGCAAUGCCGCGUGAGUGAUGAAGGCCUUAGGGUUGUAAAGCUCUUUUACCAGGGAUGAUAAUGACAGUACCUGGAGAAUAAGCUCCGGCUAACUCCGUG
rnacentral:rRNA from 1 species